rnacentral:rRNA from 1 species
UACGUAGGGGGCGAGCGUUGUCCGGAAUCAUUGGGCGUAAAGGGCGCGUAGGCGGUUGGUUAAGUCAGGGGUGAAAUCACUGGGCUCAACUCAGUGGCUGCCUUUGAAACUGGCUGACUGGAGUGCGGGAGAGGAAAGCGGAAUUCCUGGUGUAGUGGUGAAAUGCGUAGAUAUCAGGAAGAACACCAAUGGCGAAGGCAGCUUUCUGGACCGUAACUGACGCUAAUGCGCGAAAGCGUGGGGAGCAAACAGG